UACCAGCACCCCGAGUGGUCGGGACGAUUAUUGGGCCUAAAGCAUCCGUAGCCGGUUCUACAAGUCUUCCGUUAAAUCCACCUGCUUAACAGAUGGGCUGCGGAGGAUACUAUAGAGCUAGGAGGCGGGAGAGGCAAGCGGUACUUAGUGGGUAGGGGUAAAAUCCGUUGAUCCAUUGAAGACCACCAGUGGCGAAGGCGGCUCACUGGCCUGGUAUUGACGCUGAGGUGCGAAAGCGUGGGGAGCAAACAGG
rnacentral:rRNA from 1 species